ensembl:snoRNA small nucleolar RNA, H/ACA box 13
AGCCUUUGUGUUGCCCAUUCACUUUUGAAAACUAGUGAAUGUGGUGUCAAAAAAGGCGUAAACUAAACACUUUGCAGCCUUUUCCUGCCCUUGAAUUUGAUGUCUUUGGUGUCAGAGCUGCGUAAGUAACAGAU